UUCCACGUCCAGGCUGCUGAGGCCGGCUUCUUUCAGGUAGAACUUGGCCUUGUCCGGGUCAUAGGUGCGCUGUUCCAGCUCAGAGGCGUGGAAAC
rnacentral:tRNA from 1 species